rnacentral:rRNA from 1 species
UUCCUUAACUGCCCCCGGGGGGUGUUCGCCACCUCGUACACCAAAUUAAGCUUCGUUGCGCUUCUUGGAAUGGUCCAGAACUGUAGGAGACUGUUGGGAUCUCUAUCCCGAAAGGGAAGCCCCUGUCUCACUGUCCACCACGUACCAACAGCAGUCGAGCACAGCACUCUACAACCCAAUUCAGGGCGUUGCUCGCGUUGGGAACUAGAAUCAACGGUCGUAAAUCAACCCGUGAGAUUCCACUGACGGCCACUGUUUGGCCUCCUUCCACCCCUACUGCAGUUUAGUAGUACGGGGAAUACUGGACCCGAUGUGUGCACGAUGUUACCUGUCUUGUUUCCCGACGCUCUGGCGUUCCAAAUCGGUUAGGGUGUUUAGACAAGAGUCAAGCCUAGCGUCAGACGUUGAGCUGACGCACUUCGACCUUAGCGAUCAUUAGCGCCUAGUCGUACGGCGCCACUUAUGCAAGGGCCCGGAACAUGUGUGGCGGGCAGUGUGGUGCUCUCAAACGUUGUGGGCUUCAGCCACUCCAUUGGA